CAGGAUUUCCAGCUUCCACUGUGAUCACUGUGUCUGUAAUUCUGCUGCUGCUUCUGAUUGGAGUCAUAUUCCUCAUUGUGAUUCUACAUAAGAGACGCAGGACGCAAAGCCCAGGAACAAUGACACCAACUUACAGAGAGACAAAUGGAGAUUAUGAAAAUGACCCAAAUGUGCUCCAUUUCCAGUCAAGACAAAUGACCAACCAAUCAGAUUCGGUCUAUCAAAGUCUGAACCCCGACACCAACCAAUCAGAUUCGGUCUACCAAAGUCUGAACCCCAACACCAACCAAUCAGAUUCGGUCUAUCAAAGUGUGAACCCCAACACCAACCAAUCAGAUUCAGUCUAUCAAAGUCUGAACCCCAACACCAACCAAUCAGAUUCAGUCUACCAAAGUCUCAAGUGUUAAACCGACCAGUUGGACACAGUUGGAGUCAGAAAUUGCCCUCUAACCAAUGAGAUUGUUGCUGCCAGAUUCUCUAUUAAACUGGACUGGCCUCUCAUUUGAAAAUUAUUCUAGUUUCAAACUAAACUGUGGAAUAACCUGUCAAGAUCAGAUAAUGUAAAUGAAUAGUUUUUCAAAAAGCCAGUUUAUCGCUGUUCAGAAGUUUGCUAUAUGCUUGGAAACCAGCACAUGGAAGUGCUGAGAGUCUUCAUCCUCAUCCUGAAAUGUGGUCAAAUAAAGUGUAUAAAAGAUGCCAUUUCAUAUGUUAGAUAUCAUGUGUUCUGUGAUUAACUGAUGCUGAAAGUUUGUGCUUCUGGAUUUGUUUUGAGAGUCAGGAUUUGAGUUGUUCACAAAAUUACACACACUUCCUUCAAGUUACAUUUCUGAUGUGUAAUGAUUUUCAUAACCUCCAUGACACAGGGUUAGAGGUUAGUUAGAAGUUUCAGCUCAAUAGCCACGCUCAACAAUCAACAGCGAACAUUUAUUAUUAUUUAUUGUUAUUUUUAUCAUGAAUCAUCAUUUAUCAUUCCCUACUUUAAUCACUUUUAAUCAUUUUAUAUAAUCAUUUUCCAUAUUAAUGCUGUAAUGAUGCAUUUGCCUCCUAAUGUUUCUGGACCUUUGGGAUGAGUAAGCUUAGCCACACACUGAUUUUUACUGAUUUACUGAUUUACUUGUAAUUUCAUGAUUAUAAUGACU